rnacentral:rRNA from 1 species
CCUACGGGUGGCAGCAGUGAGGAAUAUUGGUCAAUGGGCGCGAGCCUGAACCAGCCAAGUCGCGUGAGUGAAGAAGUAUUUCGGUAUGUAAAGCUCUAUCAGCAGGGAAGAAAGAAAUGACGGUACCUGACUAAGAAGCCCCGGCUAACUACGUGCCAGCAGCCGCGGUAAUACGUAGGGGGCAAGCGUUAUCCGGAUUUACUGGGUGUAAAGGGAGCGUAGACGGUUACGCAAGUCUGGAGUGAAAGGCGGGGGCCCAACCCCCGGACUGCUUUGGAAACUGUAUAACUGGAGUGCAGGAGAGGUAAGUGGAAUUCCUAGUGUAGCGGUGAAAUGCGUAGAUAUUAGGAGGAACACCAGUGGCGAAGGCGGCUUACUGGACUGUAACUGACGUUGAGGCUCGAAAGCGUGGGGAGCAAACAGGAUUAGAUACCCUUGUAGUC